rnacentral:rRNA from 1 species
GACGAACGCUGGCGGCGUGCUUAACACAUGCAAGUCGAACGAAGUCGCGCACGCGUGAGUAACGCGUGAUCAACCUGCCCUUCAGACGCGGACAUCACUUUUCAACGACUGCUUAUACCCCCUAGUGUAGGAUGGGGUUGCGUCUGAUUAGCUGGCUGGCGGGGUAACGGCACACCAAGGCGAUGAUCAGUAGGGGGUGUGAGAGGGUGAGAGGCAACAUUGGGACUGGGACAGGGCCAAGACUCAAACGGGAGGCAGCAGUGGGGAAUCGGACGAAAUGGAAGAAAGCGUGACGGAGCAACGCCGAGUGAGUGAUGAGGGCCUUCGGGUUGUAAAGCUCUGUUAACCGGGAUGAGGUACUGGAAGAGAAAGCAACGGCUAACUACGUGCCAGCAGCCGCGGUAAUUC